GCUCCAACAGGCCCGACCCAACACUAGACAACUUCAUUUGUCAUCAUCACAGCCUCAUAGGAAGGAGGAGACAGUAUACUUUAUAGCCCAACAGCACAUAAUAUAAGCCAGAAACCCAAAAACGCUCGAAAUACAUGUGAUUAGACCUUUUUCAACUAUGGUGGUUUUGGUGAAAUUUUGAAAAGGAAAUCAUCAGCGGAAGAACAGAGAGAGGACAACCACCAUUAAAGACUCCCCAAUGCCUCUCCGUUGCCUCGUUUGUUCGUCUAGAGUUGCAGAACACACUUACAUUAGGUCAUUUUUUGCCCAACUGCCUAAACAGUCUUUUAGCUUAAG
rnacentral:misc_RNA from 1 species